rnacentral:rRNA from 1 species
AAUGAACGCUGGCGGCAGGCCUAACACAUGCAAGUCGAGCGGAAGGACGGUGCUUGCUCCCGGUUUCAGCUGGGGACGGGUGGGUGAUUCAUAGGAAUCUCCCUGGCUUCUGUUUCUAAGGUCCUGACACGGGCGCUCAUACCGUAUAAGACCAGAGGGAGAACGUGGGGGAUCUUCGGACCUUACGCUCUUUUGUGAAUCUAGGUGGGAUUAGCUAGUUGGUUGGGUAAAGGCCUACCAAGGCGACGAUCCGUAACUGGUCUGAGAGGAUGAUCAGUCACACUGGAACUGAGACACGGUCCAGACUCCUACGGGAGGCAGCAGUGGGGAAUAUUGGACAAUGGGCGAAAGCCUGAUCCAGCCAUGCCGCGUGUGUGAAGAAGGUCUUCGGAUUGUAAAGCACUUUUAGUGGGGAAGAAAAGCAGUAGGUUAAUACCUUGCUGUUUUGACGUUACCAAAAGAAUAAGCACCGGCUAACUUCGUG